rnacentral:rRNA from 1 species
AUACGUAGGGGACGAGCGUUGUCCGGAAUUACUGGGUGUAAAGGGAGCGUAGGCGGGAGUGCAAGUCAGAUGUGAAAUACAUGGGCUCAACCCAUGGGCUGCAUUUGAAACUGCAUUUCUUGAGUGAAGUAGAGGUAAGCGGAAUUCCUGGUGUAGCGGUGAAAUGCGUAGAUAUCAGGAGGAACACCGGUGGCGAAGGCGGCUUACUGGGCUUUUACUGACGCUGAGGCUCGAAAGCGUGGGGAGCAAACAGGAUUAGAUACCCUGGUAGUCCACGCUGUAAACGAUGAUUACUAGGUGUGGGGGGACUGACCCCUUCCGUGCCGCAGUUAACACAAUAAGUAAUCCACCUGGGGAGUACGGCCGCAAGGUUGAAACUCAAAUGAAUUGACGGGG